rnacentral:rRNA from 1 species
AUACGUAGGGGGCGAGCGUUGUCCGGAAUGAUUGGGCGUAAAGGGCGCGUAGGCGGCCCGGUAAGUCUGGGGUGAAAGUCCUGUUUUUAAGAUGGGAAUUGCUUUGGAUACUGUCGGGCUUGAGUGCAGGAGAGGUAAGUGGAAUUCCCAGUGUAGCGGUGAAAUGCGUAGAGAUUGGGAGGAACACCAGUGGCGAAGGCGACUUACUGGACUGUAACUGACGCUGAGGAGCGAAAGUGUGGGGAGCAAACAGGAUUAGAUACCCUGGUAGUCCACGCUGUAAACGAUGAAUACUAGGUGUGGGGGGACUGACCCCCUCCGUGCCGCAGUUAACACAAUAAGUAUUCCACCUGGGGAGUACGGUCGCAAGAUUGAAACUCAAAGGAAUUGACGGGG